GACGAACGCUGGCGGCGUGCUUAACACAUGCAAGUCGAACGGAAAGGCCCUGCUUUUGUGGGGUGCUCGAGUGGCGAACGGGUGAGUAACACGUGAGUAACCUGCCCUUGACUUUGGGAUAACUUCAGGAAACUGGGGCUAAUACCGGAUAGGAGUUCCUGCUGCAUGGUGGGGGUUGGAAAGUUUCGGCGGUUGGGGAUGGACUCGCGGCUUAUCAGCUUGUUGGUGGGGUAGUGGCUUACCAAGGCUCUGACGGGUAGCCGGCCUGAGAGGGUGACCGGCCACAUUGGGACUGAGAUACGGCCCAGACUCCUACGGGAGGCAGCAGUGGGGAAUAUUGCACAAUGGGCGGAAGCCUGAUGCAGCAACGCCGCGUGCGGGAUGACGGCCUUCGGGUUGUAAACCGCUUUCGCCUGUGACGAAGCGUGAGUGACGGUAAUGGGUAAAGAAGCACCGGCUAACUACGUG
rnacentral:rRNA from 1 species